CUUUACUGUCAAUCAGGGCAAGGCGGUAUCUCACUGGAACUGGUAUUUAUUACUACAAUCAAAUCUACAUCUUAGACCACCGUGAGUCAUUGUAUCUGGCUGUGUUUUCAAAACGUUUCGAUUGUAACGUGAAUCUGAAGAUUGAUUGUUGUUGGAGACAAUCCAGAGAAGGCCUGAGCCAGAUUUCCAGGACCUGCAGUAAUUUGCAUCUGACCUACUGCGCUUAAAGUUACCACAGGUGGUUCAGAAUGUAUCUUGGGAUAGCGACUAAGUGUUAAACCAUGGUUCAUGCUCUCCACGCUGAAAACUACAGUCGAAGGCUUAUUCAUGGGUACAACUUCAGCUCUUCAGAAGUGCAGCUCAACUGCUUAUUUCUGCAUGAAGAUUGCUUCUCUUUGGCCUAGGAUUUCUCUCAACUGCACAAUCCAACUGCUACUGACUUCUCAUUGGGUUCCCAAAUACACAGACUUGGCGUAGUUCUGUUGCUAUGACCUGUCGUGAGUGAUAUAUCAAUAAGCAACCUACAAUUGGUUCCACCGCAUCAUACCUAACAACAAUUGGAUCUGUCUGUUCUCUGGCUCACAGUCAAAAAGAAUGGGCAUAAAGAGAUUUCAUCGCACUGUUCGUUGAGAACACAAAGAGAUCUGCAAUAUUCACUGCUGCUAAGGAUGCAGAAUAGUAAGCAAACAACUGUGGUCCCAGGUUAAACACAAAACACUCUAAAAACAUAUACACUGAGCUAAAGAGGCAGAACUAAAUUAGGCCUGAGAUAAAUAUCUUGCAGACAGCCAAUGGAGCCCCAUUUAGACAUUACUGUUCAUUGACAUACAUUGAAAUUAAACAAGAUGACAGACCAGUGAGUCAACAUUAACAUUCAAAGAACCAAGAGAAGAGAUUGAGGAGAUCGGCCAGAAAAGCCAAUAUUACAGAUCUAAUUCAAACAAAAAGAUGCCAAGCGUUGUUGGGUUCACAAAUAUAGAAAUUUUACAACCACCGAAGACUAACAUUACUGACAUUCCAUAUCCUCCUGGAUUCGCAAAUCGUGGCAGGUGCCAGGAAUAAUGAAAGACACGACAAGGGCAUUUGGUGACCGGGCACUGGAAAUGUGAGACAACCACUUGGUAAAGGGUAACAGGGAGAAGGCCUUCGCAUAAUGUCCCACCCCUCCAAGAUACAAGGAAAUAGGUAGGGGGUCUGGACACAGUUGUGAUUUGUUAAUGUUUCCAUUUCUCACCUUGCCUUCUCCCAGCCUGGACCCAGCGCCAAGAAGACCUUUAGCCCAAUGUGGCCGUCUUGUUCUGGAGGGGUGGUCUCAGCUUGCCAUGGCAGUCUCCACAUUUGGCACUUUCAUUCUGGCACGGAGGUUUCAUUCUGGGCAUUCCAGCAGCCUGGCAGGCAGUCUCAUCCUGGCAUGGUGGCUUCAGCCCGGUGCGGUGACUACCUUAUCCCAGAUGGGCAGUCUCACUUUGGCGGCCUUGUGCUGGCAUGGAGGUCCUCUUUGGAAGCAACCUCCUGGGGUUUGAGCAUUCAUCGUUUUAACUGGAUUUCCCCAAACUGAUCUGAGAUGAACUUUCCCUUAAUUUAUGCUUUCUUUCCUUCUUCUCUCUGACUGAUGUCAUUAAUACAGGUGUCAUGGCAUGGCAACUUAUAAAACUUUCCACUGUUUAUUCUUGUAAGAAUACACAUGACAACAAAUUG